GCUAAUACCGCAUAUGACCACAACACGGCAUCGAUGAAGGGGUAAAAGAUUUAUCGGAUAAAGAUCGGCUCGCGUAUCAUUAGCUUGUUGGUGGGGUAACGGCCUACCAAGGCAAGGAUGAUUAACCGGCCUGAGAGGGUGAACGGUCACACUGGAACUGAGACACGGUCCAGACUCCUACGGGAGGCAGCAGUCGGGAAUAUUGGGCAAUGGAGGCAACUCUGACCCAGCAACGCCGCGUGAAUGAAGAAGGUUUUCGGAUUGUAAAGUUCUUUUAUUGGGGAAGAAAAAAAUGACGGUACCCAAUGAAUAAGCCCCGGCUAACUACGUGCCAGCAGCCGCGGUAAUACGUAGGGGGCAAGCGUUGUCCGGAAUGACUGGGCGUAAAGGGUGCGUAGACGGCGAUUUGCGUCGUAUGUGAAAGCCCGGGGCUUAACCCCGGAACUGCAUACGAUACGGGAUUGCUUGAAUGUGGGAGAGGUUCGUGGAAUUUGUGGUGUAGCGGUAGAAUGCGUAGAUAU
rnacentral:rRNA from 1 species